UUUAUGGAGAGUUUGAUCCUGGCUCAGGAUGAACGCUGGCGGCGUGCCUAAUACAUGCAAGUCGAGCGAACGGACGAGAAGCUUGCUUCUCUGAUGUUAGCGGCGGACGGGUGAGUAACACGUGGAUAACCUACCUAUAAGACUGGGAUAACUUCGGGAAACCGGAGCUAACACCGGAUAAUAUUUUGAACCGCAUGGUUCAAAAGUGAAAGACGGUCUUGCUGUCACUUAUAGAUGGAUCCGCGCUGCAUUAGCUAGUUGGUAAGGUAACGGCUUACCAAGGCAACGAUGCAUAGCCGACCUGAGAGGGUGAUCGGCCACACUGGAACUGAGACACGGUCCAGACUCCUACGGGAGGCAGCAGUAGGGAAUCUUCCGCAAUGGGCGAAAGCCUGACGGAGCAACGCCGCGUGA
rnacentral:rRNA from 1 species